rnacentral:rRNA from 1 species
GUGCCAGCCGCCGCGGUAAUACAGAGGGUGCGAGCGUUAAUCGGAUUUACUGGGCGUAAAGGGCGCGUAGGUGGUAAAGCAAGUAAGAUGUGAAAUCCCUGGGCUUAACCUAGGAAGUGCAUCUUAAACUGCUUAACUAGAGUAUGGUAGAGGGUAGUGGAAUUUCCGGUGUAGCGGUGAAAUGCGUAGAGAUCGGAAGGAACGCCAGUGGUGAAGACGACUACCUGGACCAAUACUGACACUGAGGCGCGAAAGCGUGGGGAUCAAACAGGAUUAGAAACCCUCGUAGUCC